UACGUAGGGGGCUAGCGUUGUCCGGAAUCAUUGGGCGUAAAGAGCGUGUAGGCGGUCCGGUAAGUCCGCUGUGAAAGUCGGGGGCUCAACCCUCGAAUGCCGGUGGAUACUGUCGGGCUAGAGUGCGGAAGAGGCGAGUGGAAUUCCUGGUGUAGCGGUGAAAUGCGCAGAUAUCAGGAGGAACACCUAUUGCGAAGGCAGCUCGCUGGGACGUUACUGACGCUGAGGCACGAAAGCGUGGGGAGCAAACAGG
rnacentral:rRNA from 1 species